rnacentral:rRNA from 1 species
GAUGAACGCUGGCUACAGGCUUAACACAUGCAAGUCGAGGGGAAACGACGGGGAAGCUUGCUUCCCCGGGCGUCGACCGGCGCACGGGUGAGUAACGCGUAUCCAACCUGCCUCUGACUGAGGGAUAACCCGUCGAAAGUCGGCCUAAUACCUCAUGGCAUCGUCUGCGGGCAUCCAACGACGAUUAAAGAUUUCAUCGGUCAGAGAUGGGGAUGCGUCUGAUUAGCUUGUUGGCGGGGUAACGGCCCACCAAGGCGACGAUCAGUAGGGGUUCUGAGAGGAAGGGCCCCCACAUUGGAACUGAGAAACGGGCCAAACACCUACGGGAGGCAGCAGUGAGGAAUAUUGGUCAAUGGGCGAGAGCCUGAACCAGCCAAGUAGCGUGCAGGAUGACGGCCCUAUGGGUUGUAAACUGCUUUUAUGCGGGGAUAAAGUGAGGGACGUGUCCUUCAUUGCAGGUACCGCAUGAAUAAGGACCGGCUAAUUCCGUG